CUCAACAGUACAUAGCUUGACCAUUCCUUCGGCGGAAUAGCCCUUUCCAACAAAAUGUCCACUAUGGGUUAAUACAAGUUUUCCAGAUUCAAAGACAGAUUUAAUCCUGGGUUUUCCCAAGAGUACACCACUUGCUAAGUUCCUAUUCAUUUCCGGUACAUGCAGGACAUUUGUCAAAGUGAUCUUCUUUCCCGAAGUGACAAGGAGUUCAACAUUUCCUUUACCGAUCACCUUUGAUCUUCCUUCAUUUCCCAUUUGUAUUCUUGGUUGUCUUCAAUGUCAUGAUAAAUUUUGAAAAGAGACUUAUCAUAACAUACAUGGAUUGUAGCGCAUGUAUCGUACCAUCGGCCCGGAACUUUGCCUUGGAUUGCAUUGAUUUCACUCACUGUUGCAAUAAUUUCAUCAAUAGAGUUCACUUGUCCUUCCUUCUUAUGUUGUUUCCUAUGCCUGCAAUCUUUAGCAUAGUGUCCCGUUUUCCACAAACAUAGCACGGUCAUUUGGCUUUGUUUUUGAAUUUUCCUUGCUCCUUUCUAGGACCAAGAAAUUUUCCUUUUCUUUUUGAACUUGUUGGAGUUGUCAACAUUAUCCAUGACAUUGGCUUUCGAAGAGCCAUCAUAAGAAUUUCCAAUCUUAUCUCUUGCCCUUGAUUCUUCUUCAAUGCGAAGAUGUUUCUGUAUGUCUUCUAAAGAAAAAUCUUCGGAAUUGUGAAGAAUUUUCUUCCUAUAUCCUCUCCAAGAACCAGGGAGUUUA
rnacentral:lncRNA from 1 species